rnacentral:rRNA from 1 species
AGUGAGAAUGCCGGAAUGAGUAGCGAGAAUUAUGUGAGAAUCAUAAUGGCCGAAAAUCUAAGGUUUUAGGAGGAAGGUUCGUCCGCUCCUAGUAAGCCGGGAGCUAAGGCGAGGCGGAAACGCGUAGCCGAUGCACAUACGGUAGAAAUUCCGUAGCCUCUGAAAGAUUUAAGCACAAGGACACUUGAGAAGCGUUUAUCCGGGAGUUGGUAUUCCCGGUCGUAAGGGACCCCGAAUGGGGGAAGUAAAUGUGGAUUGAGGCAAGAAAAGUUGUGUGAAUAUCUGAAGAGCCCGUACCGCAAACCGACACAGGUAGAUAGGAAGAGAAUUCUAAGGCCAACGGGAGAAGGGUUGUUAAGGAACUCGGCAAGUUGACUCCGUAACUUAGGGAGAAGGAGUGCUCGAAAGAGCCGCAGAGAAUAGGCCCAAGCGACUGUUUAGCAAAAACACAGCUCUAUGCUAAAUCGAAAGAUGACGUAUAUGGGGUGACACCUGCCCGGUGCUGGAAGGUUAAGAGGAGAUGUGAGAGCAUCGAAUUGAAGCCCCAGUAAACGGCGGCCGUAACUAUAACGGUCCUAAGGUAGCGAAAUUCCUUGUCAGGUAAGUUCUGACCCGCACGAAAGGUGUAACGAUCUGGGCACUGUCUCAACAACCCGCCCGGCGAAAUUGUAGUACCGGUGAAGAUGCCGGUUACCCGCGACUAGACGGAAAGACCCCAUGGAGCUUCACUGUAGCUUAAUAUUGGAUUUUGGUAUUUCAUGUACAGGAUAGGUGGGAGACUGAGAAGCAAAGGCGUCAGCUUUUGUGGAGUCGCUGUUGGGAUACCACUCUUGAAGUGCUGAAAUUCUAACCUGCGCCCUUGAAUCAGGGCGGGGGACAUUGUUAGGUGGGCAGUUUGACUGGGGCGGUCGCCUCCAAAAAGGUAACGGAGGCGCUCAAAGGUUCGUUCAGCACGGACGGAAAUCGUGCAUUGAGUGUAAACGCAUAAACGAGCCUAACUGCGAGACCGACGGGUCGAGCAGUAACGAAAGUUGGAGUUAGUGAUCCGGCGGUAUGUGAGUGGAAAUGCCGUCGCUCAACGGAUAAAAGCUACCCUGGGGAUAACAGGCUGAUCUCCCCCAAGAGUCCACAUCGACGGGGAGGUUUGGCAC